rnacentral:rRNA from 1 species
GAUGAACGCUGGCGGCGUGCCUAAUACAUGCAAGUCGAGCGAACAGAUGAGGAGCUUGCUUCUCUGACGUUAGCGGCGGACGGGUGAGUAACACGUGGAUAACCUACCUAUAAGACUGGGAUAACUUCGGGAAACCGGAGCUAAUACCGGAUAAUAUAUUGAACCGCAUGGUUCAAUAGUGAAAGACGGUUUUGCUGUCACUUAUAGAUGGAUCCGCGCCGCAUUAGCUAGUUGGUAAGGUAACGGCUUACCAAGGCAACGAUGCGUAGCCGACCUGAGAGGGUGAUCGGCCACACUGGAACUGAGACACGGUCCAGACUCCUACGGGAGGCAGCAGUAGGGAAUCUUCCGCAAUGGGCGAAAGCCUGACGGAGCAACGCCGCGUGAGUGAUGAAGGUCUUCGGAUCGUAAAACUCUGUUAUUAGGGAAGAACAAAUGUGUAAGUAACUAUGCACGUCUUGACGGUACCUAAUCAGAAAGCCACGGCUAACUACGUG